rnacentral:rRNA from 1 species
AUUGAACGCUGGCGGCAGGCCUAACACAUGCAAGUCGAGCGAGAGGCGGACGGGUGAGCAAUGUAUGGGGAUCUGCCUGAUGGAGGGGGAUAACUACUGGAAAAGGUAGCUAAUACCGCAUAACAUCCGAUGAGCACAUAUGGGCUUAGCGUGUAGGUGAGGUAAAGGCUCACCUAGGUGACGAUCCCUAGCUGGUCUGAGAGGGUGAUCUGCCACACUGGGACUGAGCCACGGGCCAGACUCCUACGGGAGGCAGCAGUAGGGAAUCUUCCACAAUGGGCGCAAGCCUGAUGCAGCCAUGCCGCGUGUGUGAAGAAGGCCUUCGGGUUGUAAAGUACUUUCAGUCGGGAAGCGUUACCGACAGAGAAAGCACCGGCUAACUCCGUGCCAGCAGCCGGGGUAAUAC